rnacentral:tRNA from 1 species
GAAGGAACAUUAAGUCAAAGGAUGAAAGCUUCUAACUUUUUCCUAAGCGGUUAAAUUCCGUUUAUGUCCCUCCAUAUUACAUAAUAAUUACAA